GCUUAGAACAGUGUCUGGCAUAUAAUAAGUGCUUAAAUACCAUUAAAAAAAAUCUCUAACUCAGAUUUCCCGUCAGGGAUGAAGGAGGAAGAAGAGGCUGCGGCCCAUCCCCUGCUCUCUGCAGGCCUCGGAUGGAGAUGUAGUAAUAGGUGGGGUGGGGAAGGUGGCGUUGGACCAUUUUGACUCCACAGGCUCCGGCGUUCCAGGAUACUAACGGUCCUAGAAGGCCAGGACGACUCCCAGGACCCGGCUUCUCCGAGGCCGCGCAGAUUUCAGUGGAGUGAAGCACAAGAGGCAUGGAGUUGAAUCUACCGCCACGAGAGUCGCCCUUCGACUUUGAAGAAGAAACACUGCUCGAGAAGUCCCACCCCCUGAACUUUUUGCUAGAUGAAGCUCCAGCCCGCUGAGACCCAGGCCCCAGGUGGGGGGGCGGGGAGACGCGUGUCACCGAGCGGAACCAUGUUUUUUUCUCCUUUUCAGUUAACACUUUCGGAAUGUGUGUUUGUCUCCAGCCUGUAAAGAUUAAAUGCUUACAAAAGGCCAAGGACUGUC